AGGACGAACGCUUGCGACGUGCCUAAGAAAUGCAAGUCGAACGGACAGUAGCAAUACUGUUAGUGGCGAACGGUCGCGUAACACGUGGGCAACCUGCCCUGAAGCGGGGGACAACAACUCGAAAGAGUUGCUAAUACCGCAUGUGGAUCGCUCUGGCAUCAGAGAUUAUCCAAAGCCUUCGGGCACUUCAGGAUGGGGCCCGCGGCCUAUCAGCUUGUUGGUGAGGUAACGGCCCACCAAGGCUUCGACGGGUAGC
rnacentral:rRNA from 1 species